AACGAACGCUGGCGGCAGGCCUAACACAUGCAAGUCGAGCGCGCCCUUCGGGGUGAGCGGCGGCCGGGUGAGUAACGCGUGGGAACGUUCCCUUCUCUGCGGAAUAGCCUCGGGAAACUGAGAGUAAUACCGCAUACGACCUUAGGGGGAAAGAUUUAUCGAAGCAGGCUCGGCCGGCGUUGGAGUAGGUAGUUGGUAGGGUAAUGGCCCACCAAGCCGACGAUCCAUAGCUGGUUUGAGAGGAUGAUCAGCCACACUGGGACUGAGACACGGCCCAGACUCCUACGGGAGGCAGCAGUGGGGAAUCUUAGACAAUGGGGGCAACCCUGAUCUAGCCAUGCCGGGUGAGUGAUGAAGGCCUUAGGGUUGUAAAGCUCUUUCAGCUGGGAAGAUAAUGACGGUACCAGCAGAAGAAGCCCCGGCUAACUCCGUG
rnacentral:rRNA from 1 species